CCCCGGCUCACACCCCUCCCCCUCGCACGCCCUCCGGCCUCCCCCCGCGGCCCGCGGGGAGCCCGGUCCUCCCCGGCCGGCUCCUCCCGCCGCCCCCGUCCCCUUCCCCAUCGCGCCCCCCGCCGCCCCCUGCACCCCUCCCCGUUCGGCCCGCGAGGACUGGGCGGGGGCCGCCCGCAGUCGGGGACCCUUCUGCGCCGCGAGGAGGCCGGCCCAGUGUCGUAAAGCGCUCCGGAGAAUGACUGUCACCGGACAGACCGCCUCUGCACGACGUGAAGACUCGCUGUCGCUGUCGCUCGGGAGGAAGAAGGAGGGCUGCGGGAGCGAGCGCUGUCAGCAGCACAGGUGGCUCAGGUCCCAGGAAGCCAGUUGCAAACCAGAGUGUUGGGCUUGGGAAGAACCCAUCGUCCUUGGCCUGCAGGCCUGUGACUCCUAAGACUGUUAAGGGACACACAGAUCCUGGCAGCUGAAAGCGUGAGGUCGAUUUUACAUGCUGUCCCUUCUGAGCGCACUGCUGACACGCCACAACCACACCCUUCUGAGGAUGCAGAGCCAGGAGCUGCAUCAGUGUCCACGCUCUGGGACGCUGCAGAAGUGCCCGGCAGACCCAGUGAUCAUGGUAACUGGAAGAGGGGACAUUGUGCAUUGUUCUUUCGCUUUAAGGGA
rnacentral:lncRNA from 1 species